CCUACGGGUGGCAGCAGUGGGGAAUAUUGCACAAUGGGGGAAACCCUGAUGCAGCGACGCCGCGUGAGUGAAGAAGUAUCCCGGUAUGUAAAGCUCUAUCAGCAGGGAAGAAAAUGACGGUACCUGAUUAUGACGCCCCGGCUAACUACGUGCCAACCGCCGCGGUAAUACGUAGGGGGCAAGCGUUAUCCGGAUUUACUGGGUGUAAAGGGGGCGUAGACGGGAGCACAAGUCUGGAGGGAAAUGCCGGGGCUUAACCCCGGAACUGCUUUUGAAACUGGGCAGCUAGAGAGAAGGAGAGGUAAGUGGAAUGCCUAGUGUAGCGGUGAAAUGCGUAGAUAUUAGGAGGAACACCAGUGGCGAAGGCAGCUUACUGGACUGUAACUGACGUUGAGGCACGAAAGCGUGGGGAGCGAACAGGAUUAGAUACCCCAGUAGUC
rnacentral:rRNA from 1 species